rnacentral:rRNA from 1 species
UACGGAGGGUGCAAGCAUUAAUCGGAUUUAUUGGGCGUAAAGGGCGCGUAGGUGGUAAGGAAAGUCAGAUGUGAAAUCCCGGGGCUCAACUCCGGGGCUGCCGGUCAGACUGGCGAGCUAGAGCACGGUAGGGGCAGAUGGAAUUCCCGGUGUAGCGGUGGAAUGCGUAGAGAUCGGGAAGAAUACCAGUGGCGAAGGCGUUCUGCUGGGCCGUUGCUGACACUGAGGCGCGACAGCGUGGGGAGCAAACAGG